GGGGCUGAUUCUGGAUUCGACGGGAUUUGCGAAACCCAAGGUGCAUGCAAAACUACGCUUUAGCAGCUUAAUAACCUGCUCUGAGCCCUCUCUCCCUAGCUUCCGCUCUUAAGACGGGGAUCAAAGAGAGGUCAAACCCAAAAGAGAUCGCGUGGAUGCCCUGCCUGGGGUUGAAGCGUUAAAUCUAAUCAGGCUAGUUUGUUAGUGGCGUGUCUGUCCGCAGCUGGCAAGCGAAUGUAAAGACUGACUAAGCAUGUAGUGCCGAGGAUGUAGGAAUUUCGGACGCGGGUUCAACUCCCGCCAGCUCCACCA
rnacentral:tmRNA from 1 species